ensembl:snoRNA small nucleolar RNA, H/ACA box 21
UCCCUUCUAAAAGCACUUGCUGGGUCUGUGCUCAGUGGCUCAGGGAGUUGUCGUGGAAGGGCAUAGAAAGACAUCACUUUUGGGUGAAGUGGUAGCCUGUGCUGUUAACUUCAAUCAGUGGUGUGACAAAA